rnacentral:rRNA from 1 species
ACGCUGGCGGCAUGCCUUACACAUGCAAGUCGAACGGCAGCACGGGAGCAAUCCUGGUGGCGAGUGGCGAACGGGUGAGUAAUAUAUCGGAACGUGCCCAGUCGUGGGGGAUAACGCAGCGAAAGCUGUGCUAAUACCGCAUACGAUCUAUGGAUGAAAGCGGGGGACCCGUAAGGGCCUCGCGCGAUUGGAGCGGCCGAUAUCAGAUUAGGUAGUUGGUGUGGUAAAAGCGCACCAAGCCGACGAUCUGUAGCUGGUCUGAGAGGACGACCAGCCACACUGGAACUGAGACACGGUCCAGACUCCUACGGGAGGCAGCAGUGGGGAAUUUUGGACAAUGGGCGCAAGCCUGAUCCAGCAAUGCCGCGUGCAGGAUGAAGGCCUUCGGGUUGUAAACUGCUUUUGUACGGAGCGAAACGGUCUGCUUUAAUACAGUGGGCUAAUGACGGUACCGUAAGAAUAAGCACCGGCUAACUACGUGCCAGCAGCCGCGGUAAUACGUAGGGUGCGAGCGUUAAUCGGAAUUACUGGGCGUAAAGCGUGCGCAGGCGGUUAUAUAAGACAGAUGUGAAAUCCCCGGGCUCAACCUGGGACCUGCAUUUGUGACUGUAUAGCUAGAGUACGGUAGAGGGGGAUGGAAUUCCGCGUGUAGCAGUGAAAUGCGUAGAUAUGCGGAGGAACACCGAUGGCGAAGGCA